CCAGCACCCGCGGUAAUUCCAGCUCCAAUAGCGUAUAUUAAAGUUGUUGCAGUUAAAAAGCUCGUAGUUGGAUUUCUGGCAUGAUGCGCGUGGCCCGCUCCGAUUACGGAUGUGUGUGCUAGUGCGCGUCUGCCAUCCAUUUACAGAAUGUAUCUACCCUUCAUUGGGCCGGAUAUGUGAUGUAAAUCUUUUACUUUGAACAAAUUAGAGUGUUUAAAGCAGGCAUUUGCUAUGAAUACAUUAGCAUGGAAUAAUAAUCUAGAACUUCGGUUCUAUUUUGUUGUUUUCUAGAUCUGGAGUAAUGAUUGAUAGGGAUAGUUGGGGGUGCUAGUAUUUAGGGGCCAGAGGUGAAAUUCUUGGAUUCUCUAAAGACUAACUUAUGCGAAAGCAUUCACCAAGGAUGUCUUCG
rnacentral:rRNA from 1 species